rnacentral:tRNA from 1 species
GGCUCGGUAGCCAAGUGGUAAGGCAAGGGACUGCAAAUCCCUUACACGGGGGUUCGAUUCCCCCCCGGGCCU